rnacentral:rRNA from 1 species
AGCGAACGCUGGCGGCGUGCUUAACACAUGCAAGUCGAACGAGAACGGAUUAUAGCUUGCUAUAAUUGUCAGCUAAGUGGCGCACGGGUGAGUAAUGUAUAGGUAAUAUGCCUCUUACUAAGGGAUAACAACUGGAAACGUUUGCUAAUACCUUAUACUCCUUAUUAACAGAAGUUAAUAAGGGAAAGAUUUAUUGGUAAGAGAUUAGCCUGUAUUGUAUCAGUUAGUUGGUGGGGUAAUGGCUUACCAAGACUAUGACACAUAACUGGUUUGAGAGGAUGAUCAGUCACACUGGAACUGAGACACGGUCCAGACUCCUACGGGAGGCAGCAGUGGGGAAUAUUGCACAAUGGACGAAAGUCUGAUGCAGCAACGCCGCGUGGAGGAUGACACAUUUCGGUGCGUAAACUCCUUUUAUAUGAGAAGAUAAUGACGGUAUUAUAUGAAUAAGCACCGGCUAACUCCGUGCCAGCAGCCGCAGUAA